GUCGUAACAAGGUCUCUGUAGGUGAACCUGCGGAGGGAUCAUU
rnacentral:rRNA from 1 species